GUUGUACUGGACACCAAGGUAGCAGGGACCAAGGUGGCAGGAUUUUAUUGUGAUUAUUCUAGUGACUAACUUGAUUAAGUCACCACCCAUCCUGAUUUCAUAAAGCAAGUAAUGCGGAAAACUUCUGAAUUCCUUUUGAGAUCUGGAACUUUACACUGACCACAUUGAUUAGCUGAAUACAGAACCCUGGCAACUGAUGCUAUGCGAAUUAAGCUAGGUCCAUUCAAAGGAAAAGAAAACAGAAUUUGGGAAACAUGAGUGAUGACUCGGUCCCUCUGGAUGUGUUGCCUUCUCUACACAGUAAACGUCCAGACUUCUUCAUUGUGACUUAGAAGAUGAUGAUUUCAUGUAGAGCCUGCAAAAAAAAUCUUUUAAC
rnacentral:lncRNA from 1 species